rnacentral:tRNA from 1 species
GGAUUGCUCAGUUGGUUAGAGCAUGGUGCUAAUAACACCAAGGUUGCAAGUUCAAUCCCCAUAUGGGACA